rnacentral:rRNA from 1 species
GACGAACGCUGGCGGCGUGCCUAAUACAUGCAAGUCGAACGAACCGCGACUAAGUGCUUGCACUAAGUCAAGGUGAGUGGCGAACGGGUGAGUAACACGUGGGUAACCUACCUCAUAGAGGGGGAUAACAGUCGGAAACGACUGCUAAUACCGCAUAGGACAUAGGAUCACAUGAUCCAGUGAGGAAAGGUGGCGCAAGCUAUCGCUAAGAGAUGGACCCGCGGUGCAUUAGCUAGUUGGUAGGGUAAAGGCCUACCAAGGCGAUGAUGCAUAGCCGACCUGAGAGGGUGAUCGGCCACAUUGGGACUGAGACACGGCCCAAACUCCUACGGGAGGCAGCAGUAGGGAAUCUUCCGCAAUGGACGCAAGUCUGACGGAGCAACGCCGCGUGAGUGAAGAAGGUCUUCGGAUCGUAAAGCUCUGUUGUUAGAGAAGAACAGCGCAUAGAGUAACUGCUAUGCGUGUGACGGUAUCUAACCAGAAAGCCACGGCUAACUACGUG